UGCAACCCAAAUGUUUGAAAC
rnacentral:piRNA from 1 species